CAAUAGCGUAUAUUUAAGUUGCUGCAGUUAAAAGCUCGUAGUUGGAUUUCGGGUGGGAAUGGCCGGUCCGCCGUUUCGGUGUGCACUUGCUACGCCCACCUUGCUGCCGGGGACGUGCUCUUGAGUUCACGCUCGGGACACGGAGUCGGCGAGGUUACUUUGAGUAAAUUAGAGUGUUCAAAGCAGGCCUACGCUCUGAAUACAUUAGCAUGGAAUAACACGAUAGGACUCUGGCCUAUCUUGUUGGUCUGUAGGACCGGAGUAAUGAUUAAGAGGGACAGUCGGGGGCACUCGUAUUUCAUUGUCAGAGGUGAAAUUCUUGGAUUUAUGAAAGACGAACUACUGCGAAAGCAUUUGCCAAGGAUGUUUUCAUUAA
rnacentral:rRNA from 1 species